AGAAAUUUUACGAACCGGCUUGUUGGAAAGGUGGCAUCCUAUGAAGGGUCCACGUUGAAUGUCACUGAGCUCCUCAGUAAGGCCAUUCUACUGCCGAUGUUUGUCUAUGGAGAUCGCAUGGCUGUGUGCGCAAUUUUAUACACCCGUCAGCAACGGGUGUGGCUGAAUCCACUAAUUGGAAGGGGUGUUUUGCAUAAAUAGUGUGUAUGUGUUAUAGCUGUGUGGACUGGCAGAAUGAAUGAACCAAUGGAAACUGCCCAGGGAACAGUUAAAUUAAUGAGUUUGCUCAUUUUGAGUAAUUAAGUCAUUUCAAAUACUGAUCUCAGACCCCACUUAAUGAAAGCUGCAAGCAAUACUCUGAUUCCAAUUCAAAGUUAACCUCUCCAAUAAAUUAAAUCUAGGCGCUUGCUUGUUAGAUUGGGGACAUUAUUCUUUUUUUAAAGCACCGUGAUGGAUAGUAGUGCCUGCCUGCCCUAAAUUCAAGUGCACAGCAACCCUCUACACUAAUCAAAACUUAAUUGGUGCAAUUGAGGUCUAUAAUUAAUCAAAUGCCUGCAGCCUGAUUUUGGUGGCUGACAUUAGGACUGGAUUUUUAUUUAUUUAACUAGGCAAGUCAGUUAAGAACAAAUUCUUAUUUUACAAUGACGGCCUACCCCGGCCAUCCACAUAUGUGGAUCUCUAAUUGAAACAGUUCUGUCUUGUGUUGUCUUUAUGUGAAUGCACAGGCAAGCCUGGCUUGACAGAAUGACCAUGCAGUGACUGAGGGACCUAAUUCAGCUGAGUCUGAGGUGGGCUCUCCAACCCAGUGGGCUGAGAGAGUUGAGCAGGGAGGCCCGAGGGAGACUUCAGCCUCUGUUGGACCAGGCCCUGCAGAUGGGAGCUGCUGCCUCUCAGACCCGGGACAGAAAGGCCACAUCGUCACUGAGGCAUUGACUGUCUGAGCAGGCGACAGACAGAGCUGCAGAGUGUGCUGAGGUGCUGAGUGAGGACCUGCUAGAGGAGCUGCUGGCCGAUGCAGUGCGGGCCACCUGGGUGGCGGAGACAGACAGACAGACGGACGGAGGGUUUGGCCCAGCGCCAGCUCCAGGCCCCCACCCUGGAGAGCAUGCUGCUGUGCAUGGAGGAGAAAGACCAGGAAGCUGUGAGGAGGCGCUUUGCUACCAUCACAUACUCAGACCCUCACUACUGGGACAAAGGGGACACAACUGGGCCCCAGAGGCCUGCUCCAGGCCAGUCUCUCCUCAGCCCGUUAGGAUCACCAGGCCAACACUGAGACACACCACCAUGGCUGACAUUGUCCUGGAGAGCCCUGUGGAGACCGGGUGUUUUUUCAUCUGGUGUUGCCAAAGCACUCUUUUCUGUGAAUAGUCCUAUGCAUAGAAUUCAAUAGAACAUUGUGUAUUGUUACAGUAUCUGUAUGUUAAUAUGUUUGUUUUGUAGUAAUCACCAUGCAAUACUGCAGCCACCAUCUUAGAGAAAGCUUCAAGCACUGUCUGAGUUUAAUGGGUUGAUGUAUGGACAGAUGGUUUGAGAAGCAGAUAGAUAUUAAUAAGGAAUAUAUUACAUUAUAUACUCGGUGGUUCGAGCCCUGAAUGCUGAUUUGUCUGACAGCCGUGGUAUAUCCACGGGUAUGACAAAUAAUUUAUUUUUACGGCUCUAAUUACAUUGGUAACCAGUUGAUAAUAGCAUUAAGGCACCUCAGGGGUUUAUGGUAUAUGGCCAAAAUACCACAGCUACGGGCUGUAUCCAGGCACUCUGCGUUGCGUCAUGCUUAAGAACAGCCCUUUUUUAUUUUAUUUAUUUUAUUUCACCUUUAUUUAACCAGGUAGGCAAGUUGAGACCUGGCCAAGAUAAAGCAAGCAGUUUGACACAUACAACAACACAGAGCUACACAUGGAGUAAAACAAACAUACAGUCAAUAAUAUGGUAGAAAAAUAAGUCUAUAUACAAAGUGAGCAAAGGAGGUGAGAUAAGGGAGGUAAAGGAAAAAGGCCAUGGUGGCGAAAUAAAUACAAUAUAGCAAGUAAAACACUGGAAUGGUAGAUUUGCAGUGGAAGAAAAUCCAAAGUAGAAAUAGAAAUAAUGGGGUGCAAAGGAGCAAAAUAAAUAAAUAAAUACAGUAGGGGAAGAGGUAGUUGUUUGGGCUAAAUUAUAGAUGGGCUAUGUACAGGUGCAGUAAUCUGUGAGCUGCUCUGACAGCUGGUGCUUAAAGCUAGUGAGGGAGAUAAGUGUUUCCAGUUUUAGAGAUUUUUGUAGUUCGUUCCAGUCAUUGGCAGCAGAGAACUGGAAGUAGAGGCGGCCUAGGAGGAAUUGGCUUUGGGGGUGCCCAGAGAAAUAUACCUGCUGGAGCGCGUGCUACAGGUGGGUGCUGCUAUGGUGACCAGCGAGCUGAGAUAAGGUGGAACUUUACCUAGCAGGGUCUUGUAGAUGACCUGGAGCCAGUGGGAUUGGCGACGAGUAUGAAGCGAGGGCCAGCCAACGAGAGCGUACAGGUCGCAGUGGUGGGUAGUAUAUGGGGCUUUGGUGACAAAACGGAUGGCACUGUGAUAGACUGCAUCCAAUUUAUUGAGUAGGGUAUUGGAGGCUAUUUUGUAAAUGACAUCGCCGAAGUCGAGGAUCGGUAGGAUGGUCAGUUUUACGAGGGUAUGUUUGCCAGCAUGAGCGAAAGAUGCUUUGUUGCGAAAUAGGAAGCCAAUUCUAGAUUUAACUUUGGAUUGGAGAUGUUUGAUGUGAGUCUGGAAGGAGAGUUUACAGUCUAACCAGACACCUAGGUAUUUGUAGUUGUCCACAUAUUCUAAGUCAGAACCGUCCAGAGCAGUGAUGCUAGAUGGGCGUGCAGGUGCAGGCAGCGAUCGGUUGAAGAGCAUGCAUUUAGUUUUACUUGUAUUUAAGAGCAGUUGGAGGCCACGGAAGGAGAGUUGUAUGGCAUUGAAGCUCGUCUGGAGGUUAGUUAACACAGUGUCCAAAGAAGGGCCAGAAGUAUACAGAAUGGUGUCGUCUGUGUAGAGGUGGAUCAGAGACUCACCAGCAGCAAGAGCGACAUGUAUACAGAGAAAAGAGUCAGCCCAAGAAUUGAACCCUGUGGCACCCCAAUAGAGACUACCAGAGGCCCGGACAACAGGUCCUCCGAUUUGACACACUGAACUCUAUCAGAGAAGUAGUUGGUGAACCAGGCGAGGCAAUCAUUUGAGAAACCAAGGCUAUUGAGUCUGCCGAUGAGGAUGUGGUGAUUGACAGAGUCGAAAGCCUUGGCCAGGUCAAUGAAUACGGCAGCACAGUAUUGUUUCUUAUCCAUGGCUGUUAUGAUAUCGUUUAGGACCUUGAGCGUGGCUGAGGUGCACCCAUGGCCAGCUCUGAAACCAGAUUGCAUAGCGGAGAAGGUGCGGUGGGAUUCGAAAUGGUCGGUAAUCUGUUUGUUGACUUGGCUUUCGAAGACUUUAGAGAGGCAGGGUAGGAUAGAUAUUGUUCUGUAGCAGUUUGGGUCAAGAGUGUGUCCCCCUUUGAAGAGGGGGAUGACCGCAGCUGCUUUCCAAUCUUUGGGAAUCUCAGACGACACGAAAGAGAUGUUGAACAGGCUCGUAAUAGGGGUUGCAACAAUUUUGGCAGAUCAUUUUAGAAAGAAAGGGUUCAGAUUGUCUAGCCCGGCUGAUUUGUAGGGGUCCAGAUUUUGCAGCUCUUUCCGAACAUCAACUGACUGGAUUUGGGAGAAGGAGAAAUGAGGAAGGCUUGGGCGAGUUGCUGUGGGGGUGCAGUGAUGUUGACCGGGGUAGGGGUAGCCAGGUGGAAAGCAUGGCCAGCCAUAGAAAAAUGCUUAUUGAAAUUCUCAAUUAUAGUAGAUUUAUCGGUGGUGACAGAGUUUCCUAUCCUCAGUGCAGUGGGCAGCUGGGAGGAGGUGCUGUUAUUUUCCAAGGACUUUACAGUGUCCCAGAACAUUUUUGAGUUUGUGUUGCAGGAAGCAAAUUUCUGCUUGAUAAAGCUAGCCUUGGCUUUUCUAACUGCCUGUGUAUAUUGGUUUCUAACUUCCCUGAAAAGUUGCAUAUCACGGGGGCUGUGGUAUAUUGGCCAUUCACCACAACCCCUCAUGCCUUAUUGCUUAAUUAUACAUUUAUAAUUUGUUGAUGUUGCAGAUUGUAGUCAAUGGUUAUGAGAUGCUAUACUGGGUGAUGGGACUUCUGCUGUCUCCACUAAAUGGGAAUGAAUUACAGAGGGUAAUGGUGUAUGACAUCACUUAACCUGCUCCCACAUUAUCAGGCAGGAACUCAUAAAGGACAAUAUAACGAGACAAAACUGAUGCAGAGCAUUGAUCCCCUAAAUUUAAGAUGGUGAGAAAGUGCCCAACAAAACCACUGUCCCAAAAACUGUCAAUUACUUUAUUUUGCAGUUGACGUCCACUCCAGACGAUCAACAAAACGGAUGGAGGUGGAACGUUGUUUAUGCCUUUCCCAGAAUGCACUGCUUUGUUGUGCCUCAAUUCUGACUGUUCUUCUCCACCCCUAAUCUCUCCUGGCUGCGAUGAGACCAAACCAAACCCCCUUCAAACCCCAAACCCCCC
rnacentral:lncRNA from 1 species